ensembl:rRNA 5S_rRNA 5S ribosomal RNA
GUCUGCAGCCAUACCACCCUGAACGCACCCAAUCUCAUCUGAUCUCGGAAGCUAAGCAGGGUCGGGCCUGGUUAGUACUUGGAUGGAAGAAAAGAAAGUUAGAGCUCUAAUAA